rnacentral:lncRNA from 1 species
UCAUAGAUUCACCUGCUUGUGGGGAUUAUGUACAGAUUGGUAUUCUUUUUGCUUUGGUGAAAUUGAGAGCUGAUAGACAAAACUGAGCAUCGGAAUCUGAAGCUAGCGGGUUUAAUGUAAGUUCCAAUAAAUAAUUUUAGACAAUAGAUUGUAUUUUAGUUGAGUGAUUACUGAAUAAAUAGUUAUAUA